rnacentral:misc_RNA from 1 species
GUAGGUGAACCUGCGGAGGGAUCAUUACCGAAAGGCGCCUCUGGGCGCCGCGUCGGCUCAAACCGGUGGAAGCGACCCGUGCUUCGGCGCUCCGGCGCCGCAUUGACGCUUGAAUCCGUCUGACGUCUGAAUGGAAAACAUUUGAAUCAAAACUUUCAACAAAGGAUCUCUUGGCUCUCACAUCGAUGAAGAACGCAGCAUCUGACUGACUGGAAGCUUG